rnacentral:lncRNA from 1 species
UCCCACAAAAAAGCCUCACUAUUUUUUUCUCUCCAUGUCGGAGCCUUUUAAUGUCAAGUUUAUUAACAAUGUCUUUGUUUGCUGACUCUAUGCCAGAAGCUCAGUCCUCAGCUCGUGAGAUACACACAUCAUGAUUCAUAAGUAACAACUGAAUCAAGAAAAAGGGGUGAAAACAAGAAUCUGAUUCAUUUCUGUUUUGAAUACAAAUGAGUACAAUAUGGGCACAUCAAAAGAAACCGUGACUGCUUCCUCUAUUUUCAAAAAUCGAUGUUACUCUGCUCAGUAAUCAUAAAUGACUUUUGUCACAUAUUAUUGCUUUACGGACAGUCUUUCUGCAUUGAAACUUAGAAAGAGCUAGCUACUGGUACGUGGAUAAACUUGAAACAGUGUUUCACACUGUAAUAUUUUCAAUAACUUAAUUAUUACAGUAGUAGUAGUAGUUUGUGAAUUAAUUUUCAACAUUUAAACUUGUGGAUAUGUACAUAAAUUAUAAGUACAAACAAUUGGUUAUCAUUGAUGACGACAAAAAAAUUAAGCUUAUGUUACCGAUCUUCAUUUGGAAUGUGG